rnacentral:rRNA from 1 species
CGAGUCUUUGAACGCAACUUGCACUCUAGGUUCUCCUAGAGUAUGCCUAUUUGAGUAUCGGUACACACACCACUCAAACCCCCCCAGAGAACGGGGGUUUGGAUCUGAUGAAUCGUAUGCGCGCAUGCGCAUCGAUUUCAAGUGUACACACACUGAAUCUGGCGGCCUCCGGUGGUGUGCUGCUGACGUGAUACGCGAGCAUUGGCUCUCUUCUCGUCAGACACCACAUUCCACGUGCCAGUCACAAAGGAAGGGGGGGGUCCAGUAGCGCAGUGUCACACACACACACCUAGAAUCUCGAUCUCAAAUUAGGUAGGAUUACCCGCUGAAUUUAAGCAUAUCAAUAAGCGGAGGAAAAGAAACUAACAAGGAUUCCCCUAGUAACGGCGAGUGAAGCGGGAACAGCUCAAAUUUGAAAUCUGGCCUGGCACGUGCGCUGGGUCCGAAUUGUAGUUUAUGGUCCGUGUAUCGGUGCCAGCGGCUGGUAUAAUUUGUCUGGAAUGGCAAGUCAUAGAGGGUGAUAGUCCCGUCCAUGACCAGCGGCGUGCGUGCCACACGUUACACCGGACUUGGAGUCGAGUUGUUUGGGAAUGCAGCUCAAAAUGGGAGGUAGAUUUCUUCUAAAGCUAAAUAACGGCGAGAGACCGAUAGCGAACAAGUACCGUGAGGGAAAGAUGAAAAGAACUCUGAAGAGAGAGUGAAACAGUACGUGAGAUUGUUGAGAGGGAAACGCUUGAAACCGCUAUGGCGCAAGCCUGCCAACAUCAGUUUGGCGCGACGGUACACAAGGCCGUGGGAAAUGUAGGGGGCAUCAGCGCCUGUUAUAGUCCCACGCGCGCAUGCACCGCGCCAGACUGAG